CUGGCUCAGGAUGAACGCUGGCGGCGUGCCUAACACAUGCAAGUCGAGCGGAGCCGUGAGGGAGCUUGCU
rnacentral:rRNA from 1 species